UCAUGUUUAUUUAUUUAUACUAUCUUAGAAUUUGCUGCUUUAGAGGCAUGGCAUUUAGUGUCACAUUACAUGUGGCAUGUGGUAUCCCACUACACGUGGCAUGUGGUAUCCCACUAAUUAGCUAUUUUAAACAUGUGACAAGUGGUAUGACACUGUAUUGAUGUAUGUGAAAUGUGUAGAGUCUUUCAGUUAUCAGAUAAUGACAAGGAGUUUACAGCAUGGUGUCCGAUUUAAAGUGCGAACCUGUGUACGAGUAACAACAGUAUUCAAAACCAAAACCUAUUUAAACCAACCAAACCAAAACUAGCGACCAAAAUCUAU
rnacentral:lncRNA from 1 species